rnacentral:rRNA from 1 species
CUACGUGCCAGCAGCCGCGGUAAUACGGAAGGUCCGGGCGUUAUCCGGAUUUAUUGGGUUUAAAGGGAGCGUAGGCUGGAGAUUAAGUGUGUUGUGAAAUGUAGACGCUCAACGUCUGACUUGCAGCGCAUACUGGUUUCCUUGAGUACGCACAACGUUGGCGGAAUUCGUCGUGUAGCGGUGAAAUGCUUAGAUAUGACGAAGAACUCCGAUUGCGAAGGCAGCUGACGGGAGCGCAACUGACGCUUAAGCUCGAAGGUGCGGGUAUCAAACAGGAUUAGAUACCCUGGUAGUCCGCACAGUAAACGAUGGAUGCCCGCUGUUGGUACCUGGUAUCAGCGGCUAAGCGAAAGCAUUAAGCAUCCCACCUGGGGAGUACGCCGGCAACGGUGAAACUCAAAGGAAUUGACGGGGGCCCGCACAAGCGGAGGAACAUGUGGUUUAAUUCGAUGAUACGCGAGGAACCUUACCCGGGCU